rnacentral:lncRNA from 1 species
GUCUGCUCCGGGACUUGGAACAAAAGGGGGAACUCUGAUGAACUCUCUUUCCUCCCCUCUCCCCCGGACGCCGGGGUAUCUCCCUCUCGCAACUUUGCCGCCCCGACUUUCUCUGCUGUCAGGCCGGGAAAAAGUGUCCGAACGCCUCGUGGACUGCAGCGGGGGAAAUGUCCCUUAAAAGUGCGACGAAGUGGGGAAGAAGGUGUAAUUACUAUUAUCAGCAUCUAGAAAGCAUCAUGAAUUUGCUGGAGUACUUCCUAGCACUGACCUCCUUCAUUCUGCGUUGUUCUUACUGGAUCUUUCCAUCAGCCAACAAUAUGGAAGUACCAAUACAAGGUCAAAUCAUUCCUGGAUUCAUCUGGAGUUGCUUAAAAGUUAAAUCAUUGGAAUUUUUGAUGAUACCUUUUCUAUAUGGAUUACAAUUUGAUCGCUGGGAAUUCUCCACCUUAAAGAAGUACCCUCAGGUGACUACAGAUGUGUUAACACCCAGCAUGUUCCGGUAGGAGACUUUCUGGAUGGGGAAGAUUUCCAGGAAUUGGCAACAAGCUCAUUUCACUGGUGGGUUUGCUGAAGCAUUAUCACAAGACAGUCAGAAUGACUGAUGAGUGCUCUUCAGGUGUGAAUCAUGGCAAUACAGUGAAAGACAGUGAUUUACUGCUUUUGAGGGCGUGCAUGUAUAUGAUUAACGGAUGGAAGUGCAGGACUCCAAGAUUUACUUCCUUCCCUUUCCAGCAGAAUUACCUGAGACGAGUAAAAUCUACUGGUGGAGUCACUCCAUUAUUCUUAUCUGUGGAGAUCUAGAUCUUGAUUUGAAAGUUUCUGAGAAAAUCUUCAGCUCAGACUUGAGGGUCAACUUUACCAGCUGAAGGAUCUGCAUUUACUGCUCAACCACAUCUAAUUUGAUGUCCUCUGCAGAUUUAAAAUGUGUGCCUUCUUUUCCGUCACCAAGUCAUCCCUGGGUUACUACUGAACAUCCUUCUCAAUUCCCCCCGACCCAUGGAUGGCUGUUCUCCAUUGUCUGUUUCACCAGAUGUCCUCAAAACAAACAGACAGAAGAAGGAAGUGGCUAAUGGAGCUGUGGAGUCCAAGUGUGACUGCCAAGAGGAAUCCAGCAAAGCCAAAAAGCCCAAGCAUGUAGCCCUGCCCGAAGCACGCCACACGCAUGGAAAACCCAGAGGAAAUGAGUGAGGAUCAAUGGGAAGAAGAGAGCCAGCCAGGUUCGAUGCCUUCUCCAUCCGUCAGUGAGGGUGUGGAGAGCCUGCAGGCGUGUGCCUCCCUCUGUAACUUGCUAUUCCUUGUGUAAUGUCAAGUGGAAGUGUGAAGCACCACAAACUGCUCUGAGCAGAGCCCACUUCCCUUCACCCACGGAGAGCGUGAAGCAGUUACACCAACAUCAAUCAAGGAAAACCCACAGGCUGAGCUCACACGGUUGAAGCAGGAAGUUGAAGAUUUGUCCAGGAGCAGAUAGCUGAAGAGAGAGAGAGAGAAGAGAGAACGGCUUACAGCUCAGGUCCUCUCUCCAUGCUUAGGAACCACUACAAAUGCUACUGCCUUGAGUCUCAUUUUGUUUCCCUCUGGAAACCACAUGUGUACCUUGUUUGCAACAGUAUGGGCUCACAGGCAGAAGGAAUUUUCCUUGUCUUGGAUGAGACUUUUGACUUGGACUUUUGGGUUAAGGUUAGUAUAAGCUAAGAUUUUGGGGGACUGUUGCGAAGGCAUGAUUGAUUUUGCAAUGUGAGAAGAACGUGAGAUUUUGGAGGGGCGAGUUGCAGAAUGAUAUGGUUUGGCU